AUUGAACGCUGGCGGCAGGCCUAACACAUGCAAGUCGAACGAGUGGCGGACGGGUGAGUAAUGUCUGGGAAACGGCCUGCUGGAGGGGGAUAACUACUGGAAACGGUAGCUAAUACCGCAUACCAUCAGAUGUGCCCAGAUGGGAUUAGCUAGUUGGUGGGGGAACGGCUCACCAAGGCGACGAUCCCUAGCUGGUCUGAGAGGAUGACGAGCCAACCUGGAACGGAGACACGGUCCAGACUCUUACGGGAGUCAGCAGUGGGGAAUAUUGCACAAUGGUCGCAAGCCUGCUGCAGCCAUGCCGCGUGUAUGAAGAAGGCCUUCGGGUUGUAAAGUACUUUCAGCGGGGAGGCGUUACCCGCAUAAGAAGCACCGGCUAACUCCGUGCCAGCAGCCGCGGUAAUAC
rnacentral:rRNA from 1 species